CAGAAAAGCUUUCCUUCUUCAUAGCUUGUUUGUAGAUGUUGCCAUUUGUAGAGCUAUUUCCGCUGUCCAGUUUGUAAUGCGAAUGCCAGAAUUAGCUCAUUCCGCUGUAAGCACUCAGACAAAUUAUACAGAGAGAGUAGGAGAUUUAUGUGUAUCUGUCACAAAAGAUGUUUUAGAUGCUAGCUGCAAAGUAGAUACUGAGAUUGAUGGGGCUCAGGCCACUGAUGUAGACACAGAAAAGUUAAUUGAAAGGAACCUACUGAAGGGAUCACAGCUGAUGAAAAUACUGCUGCCCAUGACAUUGCCACUCUAGGGUUUGUUAUCAUAAGAUUUUGUGGUCAUAUUGUUACCGUAAAAGUUCAAGGGAGAGAGGAUGAAAAUUUGGGUCCUCCAUUACAAAGCCUUGAACUGCUUGCUCAGCCUGAAGGAGGAGCCAACGCCCUCAACAUAAACAGUUGGUUGUAGAGAAUAAAGAACAAACAGAUUAAGGUUGAUGGUGCUGUUGUCACGGAUCCCAACACAAUCCUCAGAGCUGGCUCAGAACUCGUCUAUCACCGGCUUCCUUGGAAAGAGCCUCAUGCACCUUACCUCAGUUUGCUGGUGUUCGAUCAAAAAGGGAUAGAGAAGUUGUAUCCAUGGCACUUUGCAUUUUCCGUUUGAUGAUUUACCCCGCUGCAAAUUUAAUGUUCAGCAAGUUGCUGCUGUUGUUUAUCGCUUCAAGCUUUGACAAUGGACUUAUCAAGCUUUAAUAAUGAAUGUACUUCGGUUACCUCA